rnacentral:lncRNA from 1 species
AGGAUUUAUGGGAAAUUUAUCAUAAGAAAUUGAGGAUGGGUCGGAAUUACCAUAAGUAAUUAAUGUAAUGGUCGAAUAAUAUUCUUUGAAAAUUCAAGAUUUUUAAUGUGAAAAAUUCUUAAGCGAAAUUAUAAAUUUAAAUUAAAAUAGGGGUUAAUGAGUUAAGUGAAUUGCAAAUUGAUAAAUCAGUUUCCUUUGGGAAAGAAAUAG